AGUGGAUGGGGAGCAACCUAGUUGUGCGUGUGUAAAGGUAGUGCCAAGAAAAGCGAUGAUCAUGUUGAAAAUCAAUUCCCGGUACCCGAAACCGACACAGGUGGGCAAGUAGAGAAUACUAAGGGGCGCGAGGUAACUCUCUCCAAGGAACUCGGCAAAAUGACCCCGUAACUUAGGGAGAAGGGGUGCCACCGAGAGGUGGUCGCAGUGAAGAGGCCCAGGCGACUGUUUAGCAAAAACAUAGGUCUCCGCAAACUCGAAAGAGGAGGUAUAGGGGCUGACGCCUGCCCAGUGCCGGAAGGUUAAAGAAGUUGGUCAGUUUUAGGAUGAAGCUAGCGACUGAAGCCCCGGUGAACGGCGGCCGUAACUAUAACGGUCCUAAGGUAGCGAAAUUCCUUGUCGGGUAAGUUCCGACCCGCACGAAAGGCGUAACGAUCUGGGCGCUGUCUCGGAGAGAGGCUCGGCGAAAUAGGAUUGUCUGUGAAGAUACGGACUACCUGCAUUUGGACAGAAAGACCCUAUGAAGCUUUACUAUAGCUUGGAAUUGUGUUCGGGCUUCCUGUGCGCAGGAUAGGUGGGAGGCGUAGAAGGUAUUCUUGUGGGGAUACUGGAGCCAACGGUGAGAUACCACUCUCAGGAGGCUAGAAUUCUAACUUAAUUAAGGACAGUUUCAGGUGGGUAGUUUGACUGGGGCGGUCGCCUCCAAAAAGGUAACGGAGGCGUACAAAGGUUCCCUCAGACUGGUUGGAAAUCAGUCGAAGAGUGCAAAGGCAGAAGGGAGCUUGACUGCGAGAAGUACAGUUCGAGCAGGGUGGAAACACGGUCUUAGUGAUCCGACGGUGCUGUGUGGAAGGGCCGUCGCUCAACGGAUAAAAGUUACUCUAGGAUAACAGGCUGAUCUCCCCCAAGAGUUCACAUCGACGGGGAGGUUUGGCACCUCGAUGUCGGCUCAUCGCAACCUGGGGCGGAAGUACGUCCCAAGGGUUGGGCUGUUCGCCCAUUAAAGCGGUACGUGAGCUGGGUUCAGAACGUCGUGAGACAGUUCGGUCCAUAUCCGAUGUAGGCGUGAGAAUAUUGAGAGGAGCCUUCCUUAGUACGAGAGGACCGGGAAGGACGCACCGCUGGUGUACCUGUUAUGAUGCCAAUUGUAAACGCAGGGUAGCCAAGUGCGGAGAGGAUAACCGCUGAAAGCAUCUAAGUGGGAAGCCCACCUCAAGAUGAGUAUUCUGGUGUAAGGUCACGGGAAGACGACCCGUAAAUAGGCACGAGGUGGAAGUGCAGAGAUGUAUGAAGCCGAAGUGUACUAAUAGACCGUCGGCUUGACCU
rnacentral:rRNA from 1 species